AUGUCUGCCCCAUCCUCCCCGGAUCGGCCUUGCCCCAGCGCGUGUUCGGGACGUAUUUCCGCGUGGGCUUCUACGGCGCCCGCUUCGGCGACCUGGAUGAGCAGGAGUUUGUGUACAAGGAGCCAUCGAUCACGAAGCUGGCAGAGAUCUCACACCGGCUGGAGGCACGUCCUUUUGGUGGGGGGUAGAACGGGGCAUGGGGCUGCCUUGGGGCUGGAGUAGGGGCUGUCCCUGGGUGGCCCCGAGUCAGCCCUGUGUCUCCAGGAGUUCUACACGGAGAGAUUUGGCGACGACGUCGUUGAGAUUAUCAAAGACUCUAACCCUGUGGACAAGUCCAAGCUUGACUCACAAAAGGCCUACAUCCAGAUCACGUAUGUGGAACCGUACUUUGAUACCUACGAGCUCAAGGACCGGGUGACCUACUUUGACCGCAACUAUGGGCUUCGCACAUUCCUGUUCUGCACGCCCUUCACGCCGGAUGGGCGCGCACACGGGGAGCUGCCCGAGCAACACAAGCGUAAGACGCUGCUCAGCACCGACCACGCCUUCCCCUACAUCAAGACUCGCAUCCGUGUGUGCCACCGGGAGGAGACGGUGCUGACACCAGUGGAGGUGGCCAUCGAGGACAUGCAGAAGAAGACACGGGAGCUGGCCUUUGCCACCGAGCAGGACCCACCAGAUGCUAAGAUGCUACAGAUGGUGCUUCAGGGCUCUGUAGGGCCCACCGUGAACCAGGGUCCCCUGGAGGUGGCCCAGGUGUUUUUAGCAGAGAUCCCGGAAGACCCCAAGCUCUUCCGGCAUCACAACAAAUUGCGGCUCUGCUUCAAGGACUUCUGCAAGAAAUGUGAGGAUGCACUGCGGAAAAAUAAGGCCCUGAUUGGGCCGGACCAGAAGGAGUACCACCGCGAGCUGGAGCGCAACUACUGCCGCCUGCGGGAGGCUCUGCAGCCCCUGCUUACCCAGCGCCUGCCCCAGCUGCUGGCACCCACCCCACCCAGCCUCAGGAACUCCUUGAACAGAGCAAGUUUCCGAAAGGCAGACCUCUGAGCCCACAAGGACCAAAGCUGUGCCUAGAGGAAGCAGCACCCGGGCCUCAGCUGUCUGUGCUGCAAGGGGAGUCUGCCCUGGUGCCCAUGGGCCCGUGGGGUGACCACACUGUACUUGGGGCUGGGCCCUCUGCCCCUGUGUCCCCAUCUGUAUGCACUGAUGCUUCCUCCCUUUUUUAAUUUAAAAUGGUUUUUAUAAGCAA
rnacentral:sRNA from 1 species